AAGUCGUAACAAGGUUUCCGUAGGUGAACCUGCGGAAGGAUCAUCAACAAAUCUAUUAUAGGGUGCAAUUGCACUCUUUAACCAAUGUGAAUUGGGAGGGCAACCUCUUGAAUAUAUACCAAACCAGAGUCUGAUGAAAAAAAUUAAUAUAAACAACUUUUAACAAUGGAUCUCUUGGCUCUUGCAACGAUGAAGGACGCAGCGAAUUGCGAUAAGUAAUGUGACUUGCAACCUCUGUGAAUCAUCGAAUUUUUGAACGCAUCUUGCACUCUCUGGGUCUGCUGGAGAGUAUACCUGUUUGAGUAUCAGAAAGUAUUUUCUAUUUGCGUAGGAGAAUUGAGGUUUAGCUUUGGCUAUUCCUUGGAAAUGAGCUGUGGAAGGUCACUCUCAGUGUGGUAAGAAUAGGUAGUAUUCUCCCACUUUUUUGACUGGAAGCAACCCAGAGCUUUCCUUUUAAACAAAGGGAAGCCAAGAACUUUGAUCUCAAAUCAGGUAGGAUUACCCGCUGAACUUAAGCAUAUCAAUAAGCGGAGGAAAAGAAACUAACAAGGAUUCCCUCAGUAACGGCGAGUGAAGUGGGAAUAGCUCAAAUUUUAAAUCUGUCAGCUUUGCUGUCCGAAUUGUAAUCUAUAGAGUCGUUUUCAGCAGAGGGGGUGGUACAAGUUCCCUGGAAAGGGGCAUCAGAGAGGGUGAGAAUCCCGUACCUGACCACUCACCAAAGCAUUAUGAUACGGCUUCUACGAGUCGAGUUGUUUGGGAAUGCAGCUCAAAAUGGGUGGUAAAUUUCAUCUAAAGCUAAAUAAUGGCAAGAGACCGAUAGCGAACAAGUACCGUGAGGGAAAGAUGAAAAGCACUUUGAGAAGAGAGUUAAAUAGUACGUGAAAUUGUUAAAAGGGAAACGAUUGAGGCCAGUAUUUUUUGCUAGACUCUGCCAACCUUGGUUGGAUUAUUCUCUAGUAAAAAAGUCAGCAUCAGUUUUGACUGCCGGAUAGAGCUAGCGGGAAGGUGACUUUUAGGAGUUUUAUAGACCACUAGCAGAACGGCGGACGGGACUGAGGACUGCAGCGUAGCGCAAGCAUUUCCAGAUCUAUUCUAUGCUGUGCAGGGCGCCUUGGGCAACUAUUGACCGAGGGGUAUCAGCUCAGUAUAUGGUUAGUAUGGUUACAUACGCUUAGGAUGCUGACGAAAUGGUCUUAAACGACC
rnacentral:rRNA from 1 species